AUUGAACGCUGGCGGCAGGCCUAACACAUGCAAGUCGAGCGGAGCGGCGGACGGGUGAGUAAUGCCUAGGAUUCUGCCUGGUAGUGGGGGAUAACGUCCGGAACCGGGCGCUAAUACCGCAUACUCUCAGAUGAGCCUAGGCCGGAUUAGCUUGUUGGUGGGGUAAAGGCCCACCAAGGCGACGAUCCGUAACUGGUCUGAGAGGAUGAUCAGUCACACUGGAACUGAGACACGGUCCAGACUCCUACGGGAGGCAGCAGUGGGGAAUAUUGGACAAUGGGCGAAAGCCUGAUGCAGCCAUGCCGCGUGUGUGAAGAAGGUCUUCGGAUUGUAAAGCACUUUAAGUUGGGAGGCGUUACCAACAGAAGAAGCACCGGCUAACUUCGUGCCAGCCGCCGCGGUAAUUC
rnacentral:rRNA from 1 species